UACGUAGGGGGCGAGCGUUGUCCGGAAUUACUGGGCGUAAAGGGAGCGUAGGCGGCUCUGUAAGUUAGAUGUGAAAUACCUGGGCUUAACCUGGGAGGUGCAUCUAAAACUGCGGAGCUUGAGUGCGGGAGAGGUAAGUGGAAUUCCUAGUGUAGCGGUGAAAUGCGUAGAUAUUAGGAGGAACACCAGUGGCGAAGGCGACUUACUGGACCGUAACUGACGCUGAGGCUCGAAAGCGUGGGGAGCAAACAGG
rnacentral:rRNA from 1 species